rnacentral:rRNA from 1 species
AUGCGUCUUAUCAGAUCUUAUAAUUUGAUGUUUGCUUUUACUUCUCUUGGAGCGAAGGUUGAUGAUAGCAUAAAUGUGGGUCAGGGUGUCUACAUACUUAAAAUAAAUGGUGUUGCCUACCAUCGGAUAGAUUUGUUGGUGCCGCCAAGGGGCGUGUCGCCAAAGUUUGCGCAACUCUAUAUCUAUGAUACUGAGAAUGAGUUGGUUAAGCAGUUCAGGAUGCUUUGGGUUUCCUGUGAGCGACUUGAGUCACCUGCUUCAGGUUCUAUUAGUAUUAGGAUUGUUGGAUCUGGUACAAUAUAUGUGUUGCAGAAUGUCUAUUGA